rnacentral:tRNA from 1 species
AUUUAAAUAGUUUAAAUAGAACAAUAAUUUGUGGUAUUAUAAGUGAAUAUUAAUUCUUUAAAUC